AGGUAGAGGCCACUGCUGAAUCUCUGCUGUGUGUUCUGUUCACAGGUGGUGGACAAUACGGAGGAGGAUGAAGAGGCAUGGUCCACCACAACAGGUUGCCCAGAGAGGCUGCAGAGAAUUUAAAAGGAAGGAGGUCUUGAAAGAUGGGUCCUUUGUUGAACCGCAAGUGGCCCAGCUGGGGCUAACUGGCAGCUGGGUUGUGUAUGGCACUUAGGUAAGUAAAAUCAAUGGAUGACAUCCUUCCUGAGACUUAAGAAAGUCCAGUCCAAGUUAAGAAGAGGGAGUUGGAUGGAGAUGCCAGGAACUGAUGAAACUCUGUGUGCAAAGCACAGCACAGUUAGUGCCAAGAGUAGGAGGUGGUCCCCUCAUCUCUAAGGACUUCAGAAGGCUGGUUGGCCUGGGGAAUGCCAAAUACUCAGUAAUGCCUCUGUUUCCUAACUGGCCAAAACGUGAAAAAGUAAAUGGGCUCAAAUAAAUAUUAAUGAAGUGUCGACCAUGUACUACAUUGCAAAACGGCCUUUGUAAGAAACAAGGUCAAGCUUUCUAGAAGGCCUGGAUUUUUUCUCUAUGAGGAAAGUAAAAUCAUGCAGCCCCUUAGGGUUUCAGUCAGUGAUCUCACCCCAGCCCAGUGCCUGCUCCUGACAGAGACUCAGCAAGUGCAGCUCUGCGUGUUUCCUCCAUCACAGAGGCCUGCUUAGGGGGAAAAUCUUGCUGAAGAAAAGUGGCCGAUGGUUUCAAGAGAAGAGACGCUUAUUCAUGUAAUUCUCAAGAAUCCCAUCUCCGGCUUAGAAGGACACCUUUUCUGAUUUCCCAUUCAAAGGGACUGACGUACACUCAGGGGCUGAGGCAGCAGCUGUUUUUGCUGUGCACAGACUGGAGAGCGAUGUGUGAGUGAAGUCUGUGGCCACUUCUCUCCUCCCCCGAGCCUUCUGGGGUUUGGGUUUAUGACUCCAGAGGCGGAGAAGCGUGUUCCCUUUCUGUGCGGAUCC
rnacentral:lncRNA from 1 species